rnacentral:rRNA from 1 species
AGAGUUUGAUCAUGGCUCAGAUUGAACGCUGGCGGCAGGCCUAACACAUGCAAGUCGAGCGGCAGCACAGAGGAACUUGUUCCUUGGGUGGCGAGCGGCGGACGGGUGAGUAAUGCCUGGGAAAUUGCCCGGUAGAGGGGGGAUAACCAUUGGAAACGAUGGCUAAUACCGCAUAACCUCGCAAGAGCAAAGCAGGGGA